UGCGCAGGCGGGCUUGUAAGUCAGUGGUGAAAUACUGCCGCUUAACGGUAGAACUGCCGUUGAUACUGCGAGUCUUGAAUAUGGUUGAGGUAGGCGGAAUGUGUUGUGUAGCGGUGAAAUGCAUAGAUAUGACACAGAACGCCGAUUGCGAAGGCAGCUUACUAAGCCAUUAUUGACGCUGAGGCACGAAAGCGUGGGGAGCGAACAGGAUUAGAUACCCUGGUAGUCC
rnacentral:rRNA from 1 species